rnacentral:lncRNA from 1 species
AAGGCACUGAGACGGGUGACAGAAGGUAAGGCUUCUGCUCAAGCCGAAGCUGCUGAAUGGAUCUGAAUUUGCUGCAGGGAUCUGAAUUUCCUUGAGCAUACUAGUGACUUUGGUUGGAAAGAGUGAGCACUGGACUUAUGCCCUUAACUUGUCUCCAUCGGCCUUACAUUUGCUGAAAUGGCUUUCCAAUUCAACUGUAUUUGGUCUUUGUUUGUUAUUUGCAGAUACCAAAGAACUAGGCCUAUAAUUAUUGAUCCUGGACUUUAUCACUCAAAGAAAUCUGGUGUUUUCUGGGCCAAAGAGAAAAGAUCGUUGCCUGCUUCUUUCAAGUUAUUCACUGGUACUCCAGAAAUCUUUUAGACCUAUGUACUGAUUUUCUCACUUCAUAUAUAUAAAGCCCAAGUCUAAUAACUUCCAUAUAUGUCAAAACCAUAUCUAAAUCUGCUGAAUGACAAUGUGAUGUACAGUGUGUGAAGUAACUAUAAUCAAGUAAUGCAAUUCAAUAAUAAUACUAAAAUUGGCAUAUUCUAUGGGAACUGCAGCAUACCCCUUGAUUAUUUUGUGAUAAUGUAACAUGGGCUGGACAUCAGUGCUCUAUGUGAGCUAAUAGAACAUAGUUUAAUCCGAUUGAGGUUAGGUGGAGUGCAUGAUGAAACUUGUACAAACGGGUCUUAUGAGAAAGAAGUGUAGACAUAAUAUUUUCUACCUAUGUUGUGGAUUAUAUGAUCUGAUUAAUUGCAGGAUAGGCUCUAUAGGAGGACAGUUGCUGCUAGUCGUCUUCCACAAUUGGUUCCUGAUCAAGUCCUCAAAUUGAAGCAGUUGACUGUACUUACUCUGGCUGAGACUAACAAGGUAUCCUUCCAAUAUUCUGCAAGUGUUCGUUAAAGUAAAAUGUUGGAGAUAUGUUUGCCAAUGUGAACAUCUCCUCUUAAAAUGUAAGAGAUAUUUUUGAAUGUUAGAAUUUGGACAGAGCAAGAUGGUUCGGCAUAAAAAGGGUGGCACAAUUUAGUGAUUGAAAUUUGCAUGAUCACUCAAUUCUGAGAUUUUGCACGACUUCAUAAUAUGUUGACUAAUUUUGUAACCUUCGUUUACAUACUGGGGCUACUGCUUAUUGAUAGGUCUCAGGAGCCAUAUGUAUCUGCUACUGGCAGUUUCCUGCUAUUAUGCUUUGGCUCCUUUUGUUUCUAGUAUCAAGACUUGCAAUUCUAGUUCAUGUUAUAUUAUAAUUUCCUUAACUUGCAUUAUUCAAAUAUUGGGAUAAAAGUUUGUAUGAUACUUUAUAAUUCAGCAUUUUGAGGCCGACUGAGAAGAUUCGACGUACAACUACUUCAAGCUUUCAAGGCUUCAUAGAUCCUGAAGGCGUCAAUUGGAAGAGUUUGUCGCCCAGCACCAUAGACAUAUAUUAUGAUGAGUUUAAGGUAUAUUAUAGUAAUUAUUUAGUUUAGAUAUCAUUAAAUUUACACUAACUUCAAAUUCAAAUGUUGUAGAAAUCUUUUACAUGGGAUGGGGAAGUUUACAGCUCGGACGUCAUUCGUAAGACAUGGAUCUCACAAGCUAGGCAUGCUUAUAAAGAUUUUUGUCCUAUGGUAUGUAAGGUUAUUAUCGAUGAAACCACACACUCAUUCCCAUAAAGACAUUGUUACAAAGUGGAAGGAAUAUUGGGCGACACCUGAAUUCCAAGUUAAGUCGCAGCAGGCGAGCAAGAAUCGUCGAUCUGAGCCUGCUGGUCCAGGUACAGGAUUAUCUAUCCACUAUGGAGGCUCUCACAGUGCUAUUAGUCAUGCUGAGCAUGUGGUAAGUUAUUGCAAACGUGUUUUUAUCUUUGUAAAAAAUUCAAUAAUUCAGUAAUUUAAUUUUGAAUCAUCUUUCUUUAUUACAGGCUCGAGAGAAGAACAUUCUAUCGCGAUGUCACAUUAUGAUACUUUCAUGAGGAUGCACUUUAAAAGGACAGUUCGAUGGACGGCACAGACUCAGGGUGUAAGUAAUAUAACAUUUUAAUUAUUCUAAGCAUUUAAUUCUAUUUUAUCUACAUUUUAAGUUGUUUGUAAUGCAUCUAAAUAUAGCUUGAGAUACAUAGUCGAGUCGAGGAGUUACGCUCUACUCUUGGACGAGAUGUCACUCCAGAUGAGGUCAGUCAGAUCUAUAGGGAGGUGGUGACGCCAGAUCCGAAGGGGCGUAGGCUCGGAUUGGGCAUUAUGUCUCAGAUGCGUUCCACUGGUUCGAUGAGCACUCAUUCGACGUGCUCGUCUCAAUUUCCUUCAGCAGCAGUCUCAGCUAAGAUUGCACAGCUCCAGACAGAGUUAGAGCAGACACAACAGAGAGAGGCUACUCUACAGGCUGAGGUGCAGGAGCGACGACGAAAAGAAGCAGAAAUGGAGACUAGGCAGGCAGUUGGAAAUGCAACAACAAAUUUCUCAGCUUAUGAAAUUCUUCCAAUCAUCCUCAGGGUCGUUCCCCC